rnacentral:rRNA from 1 species
CAGUAGCCGCGGUAAUACCGAGGGUGCGAGCGUUAAUCGGAUUUACUGGGCGUAAAGCGUGCGUAGGCGGCUUUUUAAGUCGGAUGUGAAAUCCCUGAGCUUAACUUAGGAAUUGCAUUCGAUACUGGGAAGCUAGAGUAUGGGAGAGGAUGGUAGAAUUCCAGGUGUAGCGGUGAAAUGCGUAGAGAUCUGGAGGAAUACCGAUGGCGAAGGCAGCCAUCUGGCCUAAUACUGACGCUGAGGUACGAAAGCAUGGGGAGCAAACAGGAUUAGAUACCCCAGUAGUCCUGUCUCUUAUACA